GAUGAACGCUGGCGGCGUGCCUAAUACAUGCAAGUCGAGCGAAUGGAUUAAGAGCUUGCUCUUAUGAAGUUAGCGGCGGACGGGUGAGUAACACGUGGGUAACCUGCCCAUAAGACUGGGAUAACUCCGGGAAACCGGGGCUAAUACCGGAAAACAUUUUGAACCGCAUGGUUCGAAAUUGAAAGGCGGCUUCGUGUGUCACUUAUGGAUGGACCCGCGUAGCAUUAGCUAGUUGGUGAGGUAACGGCUCACCAAGGCAACGAUGCGUAGCCGACCUGAGAGGGUGAUCGGCCACACUGGGACUGAGACACGGCCCAGACUCCUACGGGAGGCAGCAGUAGGGAAUCUUCCGCAAUGGACGAAAGUCUGACGGAGCAACGCCGCGUGAGUGAUGAAGGCUUUCGGGUCGUAAAACUCUGUUGUUAGGGAAGAACAAGUGCUAGUUGAAUAAGCUGGCACCUUGACGGUACCUAACCAGAAAGCCACGGCUAACUACGUGCCAGCCGCCGCCGUAA
rnacentral:rRNA from 1 species